AUGAAACCGUGCCCCCGGCAUGCCGUGGUCCAUUCUCUCGGAUGCUACUGCGAAGUCAGUCUCGGCCACUGGCGGGGCCAGCUCAGUUAUUAUUCAGCCACUGGCGGAGCAGACUCAGUUACUAUUCAGCCAUUGGCGAGGCAGGCUCAGUUACUAUUCAGCCACUGGCGGGGCAGGCUCAGUCAUUCUCAGUAGCAUCUUUGAGCCCAUUAUAGUGCCUCUUGGCUAG
rnacentral:lncRNA from 1 species